rnacentral:rRNA from 1 species
GACGGACGCUGGCGGCGUGCUUAACACAUGCAAGUCGAACGGAAAGGCCCUGCUUUUGUGGGGUGCUCGAGUGGCGAACGGGUGAGUAACACGUGAGUAACCUGCCCUUGACUUUGGGAUAACUUCAGGAAACUGGGGCUAAUACCGGAUAGGAGCUCCUGCUGCAUGGUGGGGGUUGGAAAGUUUCGGCGGUUGGGGAUGGACUCGCGGCUUAUCAGCUUGUUGGUGGGGUAGUGGCUUACCAAGGCUUUGACGGGUAGCCGGCCUGAGAGGGUGACCGGCCACAUUGGGACUGAGAUACGGCCCAGACUCCUACGGGAGGCAGCAGUGGGGAAUAUUGCACAAUGGGCGGAAGCCCGAUGCAGCAACGCCGCGUGCGGGAUGACGGCCUUCGGGUUGUAAACCGCUUUCGCCUGUGACGAAGCGUGAGUGACGGUAAUGGGUAAAGAAGUACCGGCUAACUACGUG